GUUUGAUCAUGGCUCAGGAUGAACGCUGGCGGCGUGCUUAACACAUGCAAGUCGAACGGGGUGCUCAUGACGGAGGAUUCGUCCAACGGAUUGAGUUACCUAGUGGCGGACGGGUGAGUAACGCGUGAGGAACCUGCCUUGGAGAGGGGAAUAACACUCCGAAAGGAGUGCUAAUACCGCAUGAUGCAGUUGGGUCGCAUGGCUCUGACCGCCAAAGAUUUAUCGCUCUGAGAUGGCCUCGCGUCUGAUUAGCUAGUAGGCGGGGUAACGGCCCACCUAGGCGACGAUCAGUAGCCGGACUGAGAGGUUGACCGGCCACAUUGGGACUGAGACACGGCCCAGACUCCUACGGGAGGCAGCAGUGGGGAAUAUUGGGCAAUGGGCGCAAGCCUGACCCAGCAACGCCGCGUGAAGGAAGAAGGCUUUCGGGUUGUAAACUUCUUUUGUCGGGGACGAAACAAAUGACGGUACCCGACGAAUAAGCCACGGCUAACUACGUGCCAGCAGCCGCGGUAAUACGUAGGUGGCAAGCGUUAUCCGGAUUUACUGGGUGUAAAGGGCGUGUAGGCGGGAUUGCAAGUCAGAUGUGAAAACUGGGGGCUCAACCUCCAGCCUGCAUUUGAAACUGUAGU
rnacentral:rRNA from 1 species